AUUGAACGCUGGCGGCAGGCCUAACACAUGCAAGUCGAGCGGAUGAAGGGAGCUUGCUCCUGGAUUCAGCGGCGGACGGGUGAGUAAUGCCUAGGAAUCUGCCUGGUAGUGGGGGAUAACGUCCGGAAACGGGCGCUAAUACCGCAUACGUCCUGCGGGAGAAAGUGGGUGAUCUUCGGACCUCACGCUAUCAGAUGAGCCUAGGUCGGAUUAGCUAGUUGGUGGGGUAAAGGCCUACCAAGGCGACGAUCCGUAACUGGUCUGAGAGGAUGAUCAGUCACACUGGAACUGAGACACGGUCCAGACUCCUACGGGAGGCAGCAGUGGGGAAUAUUGGACAAUGGGCGAAAGCCUGAUCCAGCCAUGCCGCGUGUGUGAAGAAGGUCUUCGGAUUGUAAAGCACUUUAAGUUGGGAGGAAGGGCAGUAAGUUAAUACCUUGCUGUUUUGACGUUACCAACAGAAUAAGCACCGGCUAACUUCGUG
rnacentral:rRNA from 1 species